rnacentral:lncRNA from 1 species
AUGGAACUGACUUACACCCCAAAUAUAAAAAGCCCUAAUGCCGAGAGGUGCAAGAUCUGCACAGAGAGCCAGACCCCAAAUGUAUGCCAAAAUAACAGACAGAAGGAUUUUCUGGAAAAUGCCUCCAAAAAGGUGGUAAUGUCCCACCGAGACAAACAAGAGCCCAUACAUUGGAGCGAGAUACAGGACAGAGAGACCCCAAAGUUCCACAUCUCCUCAGUCACGAAUGCUGUAUUGCCAGGGCAUGGGCUCUGCCCAUCCUGGUAG